GCCGUCUCACACUUUAUCUCACUUCCCAUUUCAGAUUUCAAACACUCCUCCGCUGCGUCCUCUCUCUGCCUUUUGCUUCCUCAGCCCCUCUCUCUCUCUCUCUCUCUCUCUCUCUCUCUCUCCUUCCUCUCUUCCUCCAAAUCACUCUCUCUCCAGUCUUCUCAUGUCCUCACGGAUUUCUUCUUCCAAACCAUGAUUUUCCCUCGCCCCUUUCGAAUCAGAACCCCCUCUAAAUUGGAAGAUUCGAAUCCGGGUUUUCCGAUCUCUCACAGAUUUGUUCCAGUUCGUAUUCAUUUGCAGAUUUCUUCCAGUGCAGAUUUGCAGAUUUCCAGUUGGGAGAGAGGGGAGAGAUGCUUUUAUUUUAUUUUUUAUUUUUUAAUAUAUCACAUGUGUCGGAUGCUUUAAUAAAAUAAAAAAAUUGUGUUGUUGUAAUUACUAAA